GGGAACUGAAACAUCUAAGUACCCCGAGGAAAAGAAAUCAACCGAGAUUCCCCCAGUAGCGGCGAGCGAACGGGGAGCAGCCCAGAGCCUGAAUCAGUGUGUGUGUUAGUGGAAGCGUCUGGAAAGGCGCGCGAUACAGGGUGACAGCCCCGUACACAAAAAUGCACAUACUGUGAGCUCGAUGAGUAGGGCGGGACACGUGGUAUCCUGUCUGAAUAUGGGGGGACCAUCCUCCAAGGCUAAAUACUCCUGACUGACCGAUAGUGAACCAGUACCGUGAGGGAAAGGCGAAAAGAACCCCGGCGAGGGGAGUGAAAAAGAACCUGAAACCGUGUACGUACAAGCAGUGGGAGCACGCUUCGGCGUGUGACUGCGUACCUUUUGUAUAAUGGGUCAGCGACUUAUAUUCUGUAGCAAGGUUAACCGAAUAGGGGAGCCGAAGGGAAACCGAGUCUUAACUGGGCGUUAAGUUGCAGGGUAUAGACCCGAAACCCGGUGAUCUAGCCAUGGGCAGGUUGAAGGUUGGGUAACACUAACUGGAGGACCGAACCGACUAAUGUUGAAAAAUUAGCGGAUGACUUGUGGCUGGGGGUGAAAGGCCAAUCAAACCGGGAGAUAGCUGGUUCUCCCCGAAAGCUAUUUAGGUAGCGCCUCGUGAAUUCAUCUCCGGGGGUAGAGCACUGUUUCGGCAAGGGGGUCAUCCCGACUUACCAACCCGAUGCAAACUGCGAAUACCGGAGAAUGUUAUCACGGGAGACACACGGCGGGUGCUAACGUCCGUCGUGAAGAGGGAAACAACCCAGACCGCCAGCUAAGGUCCCAAAGUCAUGGUUAAGUGGGAAACGAUGUGGGAAGGCCCAGACAGCCAGGAUGUUGGCUUAGAAGCAGCCAUCAUUUAAAGAAAGCGUAAUAGCUCACUGGUCGAGUCGGCCUGCGCGGAAGAUGUAACGGGGCUAAACCAUGCACCGAAGCUGCGGCAGCGACACUAUGUGUUGUUGGGUAGGGGAGCGUUCUGUAAGCCUGUGAAGGUGUGCUGUGAGGCAUGCUGGAGGUAUCAGAAGUGCGAAUGCUGACAUAAGUAACGAUAAAGCGGGUGAAAAGCCCGCUCGCCGGAAGACCAAGGGUUCCUGUCCAACGUUAAUCGGGGCAGGGUGAGUCGACCCCUAAGGCGAGGCCGAAAGGCGUAGUCGAUGGGAAACAGGUUAAUAUUCCUGUACUUGGUGUUACUGCGAAGGGGGGACGGAGAAGGCUAUGUUGGCCGGGCGACGGUUGUCCCGGUUUAAGCGUGUAGGCUGGUUUUCCAGGCAAAUCCGGAAAAUCAAGGCUGAGGCGUGAUGACGAGGCACUACGGUGCUGAAGCAACAAAUGCCCUGCUUCCAGGAAAAGCCUCUAAGCAUCAGGUAACAUUAAAUCGUACCCCAAACCGACACAGGUGGUCAGGUAGAGAAUACCAAGGCGCUUGAGAGAACUCGGGUGAAGGAACUAGGCAAAAUGGUGCCGUAACUUCGGGAGAAGGCACGCUGAUAUGUAGGUGAAGUCCCUCGCGGAUGGAGCUGAAAUCAGUCGAAGAUACCAGCUGGCUGCAACUGUUUAUUAAAAACACAGCACUGUGCAAACACGAAAGUGGACGUAUACGGUGUGACGCCUGCCCGGUGCCGGAAGGUUAAUUGAUGGGGUUAGCGGUAACGCGAAGCUCUUGAUCGAAGCCCCGGUAAACGGCGGCCGUAACUAUAACGGUCCUAAGGUAGCGAAAUUCCUUGUCGGGUAAGUUCCGACCUGCACGAAUGGCGUAAUGAUGGCCAGGCUGUCUCCACCCGAGACUCAGUGAAAUUGAACUCGCUGUGAAGAUGCAGUGUACCCGCGGCAAGACGGAAAGACCCCGUGAACCUUUACUAUAGCUUGACACUGAACAUUGAGCCUUGAUGUGUAGGAUAGGUGGGAGGCUUUGAAGUGUGGACGCCAGUCUGCAUGGAGCCGACCUUGAAAUACCACCCUUUAAUGUUU
rnacentral:rRNA from 1 species